rnacentral:misc_RNA from 1 species
AUUCUCAACCCUCAAUGCUUUAUUGCAUUGCUUGGAGUUGGUCCUUGGGUGCUUGCCGUCUCUUACCGGGACAGCUCACCUCAAAUGUAUUAGCUGGACCCGUACUUCUUGUGUAGGUGUCCUCAACGUGAUAAAGUCAUUCGUUGAGGCGUGCAGGCAACUAACUGCCCUUACCUUUGUGUACAAGCGUCUGCUUCUAACCCGGCGAACGACUUGCCUUUUUGGCAAGUCUGACCCAUGACUUAAAG